rnacentral:rRNA from 1 species
GCAUAUCAAUAAGCGGAGGAAAAGAAACCAACAGGGAUUGCCCUAGUAACGGCGAGUGAAGCGGCAACAGCUCAAAUUUGAAAUCUGGCGCAAGCCCGAGUUGUAAUUUGUAGAGGAUGCUUCUGGCCAGCGGCCGUUCUAAGUUCCUUGGAACAGGACGUCAUAGAGGGUGAGAAUCCCGUAUGUGACCGGCGCGCAGCCUUUACGUAGCUCCUUCGACGAGUCGAGUUGUUUGGGAAUGCAGCUCUAAAUGGGAGGUAAAUUUCUUCUAAAGCUAAAUACCGGCCAGAGACCGAUAGCGCACAAGUAGAGUGAUCGAAAGAUGAAAAGCACUUUGGAAAGAGAGUUAAAAAGCACGUGAAAUUGUUGAAAGGGAAGCGCUUGCAACCAGACUUCGUAGCGAUGUUCCGCUGGUCUUCUGACCGGUCUACUCAUCGUCGCGAGGCCAACAUCGUCUGGGCCCGCUGGAUAAGACCGGAGGAAUGUAGCUUCCCUCGGGAAGUGUUAUAGCCUGUGGUGAUGCAGCGUGGCUCGGGCGAGGUCCGCGCUUCGGCAAGGAUGUUGGCGUAAUGGUUGUCAGCGGCCCGUCUUGAAACACGGACCAAGGAGUCUAACAUCUAUGCGAGUGUUCGGGUGUCAAACCCCUACGCGUAAUGAAAGUGAACGGAGGUGGGAAGCGCAAGCUGCACCAUCGACCGAUCCUGAUGUCCUCGGAUGGAUUUGAGUAAGAGCAUAGCUGUUGGGACCCGAAAGAUGGUGAACUAUGCCUGAAUAGGGUGAAGCCAGAGGAAACUCUGGUGGAGGCUCGCAGCGGUUCUGACGUGCAAAUCGAUCGUCAAAUUUGGGUAUAGGGGCGAAAGACUAAUCGAA